UAUGCUUUGGGGAGCUGUAAGUAAGCUUUGAUCCAGAGAUUUCCGAAUGGGGAAACCCAGCAUGAGUUAUGUCAUGUUAUCGAUAUGUGAAUACAUAGCAUAUCAGAAGGCACACCCGGAGAACUGAAACAUCUUAGUACCCGGAGGAAGAGAAAGAAAAUUCGAUUCCCUUAGUAGCGGCGAGCGAAACGGGAAGAGCCCAAACCAACAAGUUUGCUUGUUGGGGUUGUAGGACACUCUAUACGGAGUUACAAAGGACGACAUUAGACGAAUCAUCUGGAAAGAUGAAUCAAAGAAGGUAAUAAUCCUGUAGUCGAAAAUGUUGUCUCUCUUGAGUGGAUCCUGAGUACGACGGAGCACGUGAAAUUCCGUCGGAAUCUGGGAGGACCAUCUCCUAAGGCUAAAUACUCUCUAGUGACCGAUAGUGAACCAGUACCGUGAGGGAAAGGUGAAAAGCACCCCGGAAGGGGAGUGAAAUAGAACCUGAAACCGUGUGCUUACAAGUAGUCAGAGCCCGUUAAUGGGUGAUGGCGUGCCUUUUGUAGAAUGAACCGGCGAGUUACGAUUUGAUGCAAGGUUAAGCAGUAAAUGUGGAGCCGUAGCGAAAGCGAGUCUGAAUAGGGCGUUUAGUAUUUGGUCGUAGACCCGAAACCAGGUGAUCUACCCUUGGUCAGGUUGAAGUUCAGGUAACACUGAAUGGAGGACCGAACCGACUUACGUUGAAAAGUGAGCGGAUGAACUGAGGGUAGCGGAGAAAUUCCAAUCGAACCUGGAGAUAGCUGGUUCUCUCCGAAAUAGCUUUAGGGCUAGCCUCAAGUGAUGAUUAUUGGAGGUAGAGCACUGUUUGGACGAGGGGCCCCUCUCGGGUUACCGAAUUCAGACAAACUCCGAAUGCCAAUUAAUUUAACUUGGGAGUCAGAACAUGGGUGAUAAGGUCCGUGUUCGAAAGGGAAACAGCCCAGACCACCAGCUAAGGUCCCAAAAUAUAUGUUAAGUGGAAAAGGAUGUGGCGUUGCCCAGACAACUAGGAUGUUGGCUUAGAAGCAGCCAUCAUUUAAAGAGUGCGUAAUAGCUCACUAGUCGAGUGACACUGCGCCGA
rnacentral:rRNA from 1 species